UUCUGCCUUAGCUCAAUCAAUAAGAGCAUGAGACACUUAAUCACAGGGUUGUGGGUUCAAGCCCCACAGCGGGCAAA